AGGGAAUCUUCCGCAAUGGACGAAAGUCUGACGGAGCAACGCCGCGUGAGUGAAGAAGGCCUUCGGGUCGUAAAACUCUGUUGCCGGGGAAGAACAAGUGCCGUUCGAACAGGGCGGUGCCUUGACGGUACCCGGCCAGAAAGCCACGGCUAACUACGUGCCAGCAGCCGCGGCAAUACGUAGGUGGCAAGCGUUGUCCGGAAUUAUUGGGCGUAAAGCGCGCGCAGGCGGUUUCUUAAGGCAGAUGUGAAAUCUUGCGGCUCAACCGCAAGCGGUCAUUGGAAACUGGGAGGCUUGAGUGCAGAAGAGGAGAGUGGAAUUCCACGUGUAGCGGUGAAAUGCGUAGAGAUGUGGAGGAACACCAGUGGCGAAGGCGGCUCUCUGGUCUGUAACUGACGCUGAGGCGCGAAAGCGUGGGGAGCAAAC
rnacentral:rRNA from 1 species